rnacentral:rRNA from 1 species
UCGUCGCCUGUUUAUCAAAAACAUCGCCUCUUGUAUACUAAAAAUAAGAGGUACUGCCUGCCCAGUGACAAUCAGUUUAACGGCCGCGGUAUCCUGACCGUGCAAAGGUAGCGCAAUCACUUGUCUUUUAAAUGAAGACCCGUAUGAAUGGCAAAACGAGGGCUUAACUGUCUCCUUAAUCCAGUCAAUGAAAUUAACCUCCCCGUGCAGAGGCGGGGAUAGUAACAUAAGACGAGAAGACCCUAUGGAGCUUCAGACGCCAGACAGACCACGUCAACCACCUUAAAACAAAAUCACGAACUUAAUGGCUACUGUCUCCAUGUCUUCGGUUGGGGCGACCAUGGGGAAAAAUAUAACCCCCACGUGGACUGAGAGCAAACACCCACUUAUCACUCCCAAAACCAAGAGAUUCUCAUAAAAUAAACAGAAUUUUU